rfam:Pteropus alecto contig105071, whole genome shotgun sequence.
CAUUUUUCUGAUCAUCUGAAGAUCAGCUAUUCGAAGAGAAAGAUCAGCCAAGUCCUUUGGACCUGAUCAACAAUACAGGAGCUACUGAUUUCAGCGACUUUGGCUUCUCUCUCUCCAAAAUGAUGAAUUAUACAAGUUAUAUCUUAGCUUUUCAGCUUUGCGUGAUU